UUGAACGCUGGCGGCAGGCCUAACACAUGCAAGUCGAGCGGAUGAAGGGAGCUUGCUCCUGGAUUCAGCGGCGGACGGGUGAGUAAUGCCUAGGAAUCUGCCUGGUAGUGGGGGAUAACGUCCGGAAACGGGCGCUAAUACCGCAUACGUCCUGAGGGAGAAAGUGGGGGAUCUUCGGACCUCACGCUAUCAGAUGAGCCUAGGUCGGAUUAGCUAGUUGGUGGGGUAAAGGCCUACCAAGGCGACGAUCCGUAACUGGUCUGAGAGGAUGAUCAGUCACACUGGAACUGAGACACGGUCCAGACUCCUACGGGAGGCAGCAGUGGGGAAUAUUGGACAAUGGGCGGAAGCCUGAUCCAGCCAUGCCGCGUGUGUGAAGAAGGUCUUCGGAUUGUAAAGCACUUUAAGUUGGGAGGAAGGGCAGUAAGUUAAUACCUUGCUGUUUUGACGUUACCAACAGAAUAAGCACCGGCUAACUUCGUG
rnacentral:rRNA from 1 species